UAUGUGAUCGUCUCUCGCAUAUCAAUAAGCGGAGGAAAAGAAACUAACAAGGAUUCCCCUAGGUAACGGCGAGUGAAGCGGGAAGAGCUCAAAUUUGAAAUCUUAAAGGGUUUCCCUUUACGAAUUGUAGUUUAAAGAAGUGUUUUCUGUUGAGGUUUUGGUAAAAGUUCUUUGGAAUAGGACAUCAUAGAGGGUGAGAAUCCCGUAUUUGACCUUUACUUUCUAACUUUGUGAUACACUUUCAAAGAGUCGGAUUGUUUGGGAAUGCAGUCCAAAAUGGGUGGUAAAUUUCAUCUAAAGCUAAAUAUUGGCGAGAGACCGAUAGCGAACAAGUACCGUGAGGGAAAGAUGAAAAGAACUUUGAAAAGAGAGUUAAACAGUACGUGAAAUUGUCAAAAGGGAAGCGUUUGACACCAGUGUUGUUUUUCUGAAAAUCAAUUAAAGAACUGUUUAUGCUAAGCUGUUUAGACUUUAUCAGCUAUCUGUUUAGUUUUGAGCUUUUCUUUAAUGCACUUUUCAGUUAACAAGUCAACAUCAAUUUCUUUUGCUGUAAAAAAGCUUGAGGAAGGUGGCUUGAGAUUCGUCUUAAGUGUUUAUAGCCUCUUGCCUAUGCAGUCGGAGAGAUUGAGGUCUGCAGCGUAGAUCCUUCGGGGCUAAAUGCAUUUGUGCUAAGUUAUAGCAUUUUAUAGACAACUUGUUGACUAUGAUUUGUCUUGUAGCUUACUUGCUUAUGUUAUUUUACCUACGCUUAGGAUGUUGAGCGCAUGUCUCUCUCU
rnacentral:rRNA from 1 species